AAUUUUAUAGUUAAAUAAAUAACAUUAAAUUGCAAAUUUAAAAUUAUAAAAAACUUAUUAAAAUUU
rnacentral:tRNA from 1 species